UACGUAGGGGGCAAGCGUUGUCCGGAUUUAUUGGGCGUAAAGAGCGUGUAGGCGGCUAUACAGGUCCGCUGUGAAAACUCGAGGCUCAACCUCGAGACGUCGGUGGAAACCGUAUGGCUAGAGUCCGGAAGAGGAGAGUGGAAUUCCGGGUGUAGCGGUGGAAUGCGUAGAGAUCCGGAAGAACACCGGAGGCGAAGGCGGCUUGCUGGGCUCGGUCUGACGCUGAGGCGCGAAAGCGUGGGGGAGCGAACAGG
rnacentral:rRNA from 1 species